UACGGGGGGGGCAAGCGUUGUUCGGAAUUACUGGGCGUAAAGGGCUCGUAGGUGGCCAACUAAGUCAGACGUGAAAUCCCUCGGCUUAACCGGGGAACUGCGUCUGAUACUGGAUGGCUUGAGUUCGGGAGAGGGAUGCGGAAUUCCAGGUGUAGCGGUGAAAUGCGUAGAGAUGUGGAGGAAUACCGAUGGCGAAGGCAGCCUCCUGGGCCAACACUGACGCUCAUGCACGAAAGCGUGGGGAGCAAACAGG
rnacentral:rRNA from 1 species